rnacentral:rRNA from 1 species
GUGCCAGCCGCCGCGGUAAUACAGAGGGUGCGAGCGUUGUCCGGAAUCACUGGGCGUAAAGGGCGCGUAGGCGGUCUGUUAAGCGUGUGGUGAAAGCUCGGGGCUCAACCCCGCGUCGGCCAUGCGAACUGGGAGACUGGAGCCGAUCAGAGGCAGGCGGAAUUCCGGGUGUAGCGGUGGAAUGCGUAGAGAUCCGGAAGAACACCGGUGGCGAAGGCGGCCUGCUGGGAUCGAGCUGACGCUGAGGCGCGACAGCGUGGGGAGCAAACAGGAUUAGAAACCCCUGUAGUCC